rnacentral:misc_RNA from 1 species
GCAAACUUGGUCAUUUAGAGGAAGUAAAAGUCGUAACAAGGUCUCCGUUGGUGAACCAGCGGAGGGAUCAUUACUGAGUGUUACAACUCCCAAACCCUAUGUGAACCUUACCGCCGUUGCCUCGCGGCCGCCGGCCCCCCAGCGGUCCCCAGGACCCCCGGGGGGUGGCCGCCGAGGACCGAAGCAAAACUCGUUUGAAACCAGUGGACCUCUGAGUGGACAAAACACAAUGAAUCAAAACUUUCAACAACGGAUCUCUUGGUUCUGGCAUCGAUGAAGAACGCAGC